UGGUCUGUAACUGACGCUGAGGCUCGAAAGCAUGGGUAGCGAACAGGAUUAGAUACCCUGGUAGUCCAUGCCGUAAACGAUGAAUGCUAGGUGUUGGAGGGUUUCCGCCCUUCAGUGCCGCAGCUAACGCAUUAAGCAUUCCGCCUGGGGAGUACGCCGCAAGGUUGAAACUCAAAGGAAUUGACGGGGGCCCGCACAAGCGGUGGAGCAUGUGGUUUAAUUCGAAGCAACGCGAAGAGCCUUACCAGGUCUUGACAUCUUUUGAUCACCUGAGAGAUCAGGUUUCCCCUUCGGGGGCAAAAUGACAGGUGGUGCAUGGUUGUGGUCAGCUCGUGUCGUGAGAUGUUGGGUUAAGUCCCGCAACGAGCGCAACCCUUAUGACUAGUUGCCAGCAUUUAGUUGGGCACUCUAGUAAGGCUGCCGGUGACAAACCGGAGGAAGGUGGGGAUGACGUCAAAUCAUCAUGCCCCUUAUGACCUGGGCUACACACGUGCUACAAUGGAUGGUACAACGAGUUGCGAGACCGCGAGGUCAAGCUAAUCUCUUAAAGCCAUUCUCAGUUCGGACUGUAGGCUGCAACUCGCCUACACGAAGUCGGAAUCGCUAGUAAUCGCGGAUCAGCAGCGCCGCGGUGAAUACGUUGCCCGGGCCUUGUACACACCGCCCGUCACACCAUGAGAGUUGGUAACACCCGAAGACCGGUGGCGUAAGCCCUCUUAGGAGGGAGCCUUUAAGGGGCAAGAAUGGGG
rnacentral:rRNA from 1 species